UUGGAGGGCAAGUCUGGUGCCAGCAGCCGCGGUAAUUCCAGCUCCAAUAGCGUAUAUUAAAGUUGUUGCAGUUAAAAAGCUCGUAGUUGAACUUCGGGGUCUACCCAUUGGUCAGGCUUAAUUGUCUGUACUGGUGAGAUGGAUCUCUACCUUCUGAGGAACUUUCAUGCCAUUUAUUUGGUGUGAUGGGAAAUCAGGACUGUUACUUUGAAAAAAUUAGAGUGUUUAAAGCAGACUAUCGUCUGAAUACAUUAGCAUGGAAUAAUGAAAUAGGACGGACUGAUUCUAUUUCGUUGGUUUCUAGGAUCACCGUAAUGAUUAAUAGGGAUAGUUGGGGGCAUUAGUAUUCAAUUGUCAGAGGUGAAAUUCUUGGAUUUAUUGAAGACUAACUACUGCGAAAGCAUUUGCCAAGGAUGUUUUCAUUAAUCAAGAACGAGAGUUAGGGGAUCGAAGACGAUCAGAUACCGUCGUAGUCUUAACCAUAAACUAUGCCGACUAGGGAUUGGACGAUAAUUUUUUAAUAUCUCGUUCAGCACCUUACGGGAAACCAAAGUGUUUGGGUUC
rnacentral:rRNA from 1 species